UGUGGGAGCUGGCUUGCCUGCGAUGCGGGCGCCUCGGUGGAUCAGGUGAACCGAGGUGAUGCGAUCGCAGGCAAGCCAGCUCCCACA
rnacentral:antisense_RNA from 1 species